GAUGAAGAACGCAGCGAAAUGCGAUAAGUAAUGUGAAUUGCAGAAUUCCGUGAAUCAUCGAAUCUUUGAACGCACAUUGCGCCCUCUGGUAUUCCGGGGGGCAUGCCUGUCCGAGCGUCAUUUGCAACCCUCAAGCCCGGCUUGUGUGAUGGGUGCCGUCCCCUACGGGACGCGCCCCGAAGGCAAUGGCGGCGUCGCGGUUAUCCGAUCAGCCAAAGUGUAUGGGCUUUGUCACUCACUUUACGGCCCGGACCGGCGCCAGUCCGAAUCAAUCUUUUUUCUAAAGUUGACCUCGGAUCAGGUAGGGAUACCCGCUGAACUUAAGCAUAUCAAUAAGCGGAGGA
rnacentral:misc_RNA from 1 species